AAGUGAAGGACGAAGAACAUACUGAACGGUGUAGCCCUAGAUACACUUCGCCUGGAAAAAAAAAAGACAGGGUCUGAAGGCUGGAAAUUCUUUUACCAUAGCCCUGCUCAGGUUGACCUGAGCUAAACAAUAACAUUUUAAAACACACACACACACACCGUUUUUACUAAUAUAUGUCGCACUGUAUUAUACUCGAGUGUAAUUGAAAAAAUUAAGGUGCGACUUAUACACAGGGCAAAACUAUGAAGGGAAAGAUUUUGUACAAAGAUUUAGCACUUUGAUUAGGAGUACGACUUAUAUCCGAGUAAGUACAGUACGUACUUAUAUCAACCCAUGAGGGAACAACCUCUGCAGGGUCUCCCUCAGAUCACACCGUGAUACCAUAAAAGAAACAAAACAAAUAGGAAGGUCACACCUGGAAUGUUUAUGAUCAGAACUAACAUGGGUCUAAACAACAACUUUACCCAACUGUUCUGAAGCCAUUUAAUACGCAAGAAGGGUAGAGAACCAACAAGCAAGUUGAGUAUAGACUUUAUAUAUAAAGUUGGUGGAUUUGGGUCAAGCAAGUGCUAAACUGGAGUUACCACUUGUGGGUUUGUUUGUUUUCUUAAUGCCAAGUUGUGAAGUUUACAUAGAUUGGACGAGAUCAAUGGUGGCGUUAAUCUUUGAGAUUCAUACCUUUUAAAUGUCCCGUUUAAAUUGUUGCAAGUUGACACUUGCAGGAACGAAGUGAGCAAUGAGGUGAUUUCAGAGGGAUGUGAAGUGGGGGGGAGAAAGAACUGGAUGUAGUGGUUAGUGUGAGGAGGAGGAACUGGACACAACAACGGUGAGAAGAAGAGGAGGAGAGGCCAGUGGACCAGGAGUGUAUAAGUGGAGAAGAUUGCAAGACUAGUUGCAGGGAACGAUGGUUAUUGUAGUUGUGGUAGAGAAGGCAAAGGGAAGAGACAGCACACCUGUGAGUACAAGCAGGUAUAUGUCUAUCAGUGAUUUUAUCACAAUCAGUUGUCUUUCUGUGGAAAUGGUCUACAUGGCUGUGUGGUAUGUAGCUUGCUUACCAACCACAUGGUUCCGGGUUCAGUCCCACUGUGUGGCACCUUGGGCAAGUGUCUUCUACUAUAGCUUCGGGCCGACCAAAACCUUGUGAGUGGAUUUGGUAGACAGAAACUGAAAGAAGCCCGUCGUAUAUAUGUAUAUAUAUGUGUGUGUGUGUUUGUCCCCCCACCAUCGCUUGACAACCAAUGGUGGUGUGUUUACGUCUCCGUAACUUAGCCGUUCGGCAAAAAGAGACCAAUAGAAUAAGUACUAGGCUUACAAAGAAUAAGUCCUGGGGUCGAUUUUCUCGACUAAAGGCGGUGCUCCAGCAUGGCCACAGUCAAAUGACUGAAACAAGUAAAAGAGAGAGAGUAAAGAGUGUUUGCAUGUGUACUGCUCCAAAUUUACUUUUAAAAGAAACAAAACCAACUUAGAAGCAUUUGCAGGUCUGAUUGAAGCCUUGUGAGUGGAUUUGGUAGACAGAAACUGAAAAAAUGCCCAUGUGUGUGUUUGCCUUUGUCCCCCACCACCACUUGAUAACCAGUGUUGGUUUGUUGAUGUCCUCAUACCUUAGCAGUUCAAUUUAUAUGGAACCCAAAUAUCGAGCCUCUUAAUGAGUUCAAGACAUUUUAAAUGAUUUUCAAUUGCUGUGUGCGAUACAUUUAACCUCUCUGCAAUCUCUCACACAGUUACAUGACAAUCAGAUUCGAUUAUGGCUUUGAUUUGGUCAUCAUCAACUUCAGGACGUCGACCGGAACAUUGGUCAUCCUUGUGUGAAAAAUCUCCAGAACGAAAUUUUUUAAACCAUUUCUGACAUGUGCGUUCUGUUAAUGAAUCAACACUAUAUAUUUCACAUAUCUCUUUGUGAGCCUCAGCAGCUUUCUUGCCUUUACGGAAAUAAAGAAGCAAAAUAUGGCGAAAAUGUUCAUUUUUGCACUCCAUGUUGAAAUUAACUGAACUAACAGCUGUAAACAAGAUUACGUGCAAUUUGCUUCUGAAGUCAACUAAAGGUAAUGGCGAUCAAAUGUCGAAAGGAAAAAAAAUAACAUUGACAAAAGUCAUUCAGAAAAAUCGUAGCUCUCUUUGCGAAAAAUGAAAUUACUUUCUUUCCAACCCAAUAGUUAUGCAUGACCCUUUUCGACAAACCAGAUUAGUUUUGAGAUCAUAUGGUGUAAGUUAUUUCUCAAACUACAGACAAUGAUUGUGAUCAUGAUCAUUGCUUGGACAGAAUUUGUUGAAGCAGAUUUUCUAUGCUGCAUGCCCUUCCAAUUGCCAAACCUCACCUGUUUCUGUUUCCAAAUAAAGCAAUAUUUUCCCAAGACCAAAACAAUUUCAUAGGAGAUUGGAAACAAAAGACACUGUUUGCAUGGCAGUGACACUUACUUACAACUAUCACACAAUGUCAAGUCAAAGAGACAAUAAUACAUGCGUGUACACACACGUGCAUGUGAUGGGCUUCUUUCAGUUUCUAUUUAUGAAAUCCACUCUCAAGGCUUUAAUAAGACAGGGGUUAUAGUGGAAGACACUUACUCAAUCCAAAACUAUGUGGCUGGAGAGCCUACUUCUUUAACACACAGCCAUAUCUUUGCUCUAUCUUUUUCACAAUAUUUUAACCCAUAUCUCCAAAUGGUGUCCAAUUCCAUGACUUCAUUUUUGUAUAAUCAUUAUUGAUUAUUUAUGCUAAUUAAUUAAAUCUUAACAUAGAAGCCCUUAAAGAACAAAAGUCUUCGAUAUUGAAACUAUUUACGUUUUCAAUUAUGUCUUCCAUAUCGUUUCAUAUUUAAGGCUGUUGACAGAAUAUGAGAUUCAGGAUUAUGUUGCUACAAAACAUCUGUAAAAUGAUGUUAUUACAGCAUAAGAGAGAAGCGAAAAAGAUAGAAGCAACUGCACAAUGGUAGUUCAGUGUUCUCACAUGGCCUCAGACUCAAAAGUGCCUGGAGGAGGUAGUGCUGCCCUGGGUCAAGAGGGUGUCUGCUGGAAGACCCUAUGUCAAGCAACAAGACUUUGCACCAUGCCACACAAGCAGAAGAACCCAGUCGUGGCUGCCAGACAAUUUCUGCAAUCACAUCACCCCUAACAUCUGGCCACCUAACUGCCCAGACUACAACCCUUUUCAUCAUUAUGUGUGGAGCAUAUUUGAGCGAGAGACCAACAAAACUCCUUGUAACACCAAAGACGAACUGAAGGCAAGGACUGUGGCAGCAUUCACCAACUUAAACAAAGAGUUGCAGGAGAUUCCCAAGUCAUCUGGAGGCCGUGGUUGAAGCCAGUGGCGAUUUUAUUGAAUAAAUUUACUCUUUAGUACUUCAAGAUAUCCUUUAUGUAAUUUUGGUAAAUAUAUCUGUUAAAAUGAGA